GUAGGUGGCAAGCGUUGUCCGGAAUUAUUGGGCGUAAAGCGCGCGCAGGCGGUUCUUUAAGUCUGGUGUGAAAGCCCACGGCUCAACCGUGGAGGGUCAUUGGAAACUGGAGAACUUGAGUACAGAAGAGGAAAGCGGAAUUCCACGUGUAGCGGUGGAAUGCGUAGAGAUGUGGAGGAACACCAGUGGCGAAGGCGGCUUUCUGGUCUGUAACUGACGCUGAGGCGCGAAAGCGUGGGGAGCAAACAGGGAUUAGAUACCCUGGUAGUCCACGCCGUAAACGAUGAGUGCUAAGUGUUAGGGGGUUUCCCGCCCCUUAGUGCUGCAGCUAACGCAUUAAGCACUCCGCCUGGGGAUACGGCCGCAAGGCUG
rnacentral:rRNA from 1 species